GAUGAACGCUGGCGGCGUGCCUAAUACAUGCAAGUCGAGCGAACGGACGAGAAGCUUGCUUCUCUGGUGUUAGCGGCGGACGGGUGAGUAACACGUGGAUAACCUACCUAUAAGACUGGGAUAACUUCGGGAAACCGGAGCUAAUACCGGAUGAUAUUUUGAACCGCAUGGUUCAAAAGUGAAAGACGGUCUUACUGUCACUUAUAGAUGGAUCCGCGCUGCAUUAGCUAGUUGGUAAGGUAACGGCUUACCAAGGCAACGAUGCAUAGCCGACCUGAGAGGGUGAUCGGCCACACUGGAACUGAGACACGGUCCAGACUCCUACGGGAGGCAGCAGUAGGGAAUCUUCCGCAAUGGGCGAAAGCCUGACGGAGCAACGCCGCGUGAGUGAUGAAGGUCUUCGGAUCGUAAAACUCUGUUAUUAGGGAAGAACAUAUGUGUAAGUAACUGUGCACAUCUUGACGGUACCUAAUCAGAAAGCCACGGCUAACUACGUG
rnacentral:rRNA from 1 species